CAGCGAGGUGACAGGAGGCAAGGCUCUCAAGUCAGUCUCCUUGAUCCAGGGUUUGGGGCAAAAUUUAAGAGGUUGGGGGAACAGGCUGAUACGCGGAAGCGCCGGCCAGGCAGGUGUCCGUUGGAGGGCUCUAAACAUUUACGAGUGACCCACCCCUAGUCAUUGGAAUUCAACUGUGCUCCAUGCUGUAGGAGAGGCAGCAACACCAAAUCUUUAUCUCAAUGUCUGCACUACCUUCCAAACAUAGAGCCUGAGUCAAGAACCCAGUGAGAUCCUGAGGGGAAUGCCUACAGCACAGAGAUUAUUUUCCUCGUGCUACAUUUGUAGCUCUAGAAAAGAGGCUACAUCUCCAGAUGCCACCCCCAUCCAACCUUCUGGAGGCAGCCCCAGGAGACAGCAGUGGUUGUGCACCAGAGGGUGCAAUGCCUGGGACUACUGCAGCUGUCUUGUGACCAAGAGGAACACUAUCUUAAUGAUAAGCCAGUAUACUAAAGAUGGCAGAGCAAGAAAAUGGAAAGACUCCAGAUCUUUGAUGUCACUGAGCUGCUGAACUAACCGACCCCUGGAGCUGCUUUACCUCUGGACUUAUUAUAUCUUCAAAUUCUUCAAGUGAUUUUUUAACAGGAUAUUACCUUCACCCUGAGGAAGGUGGCAGAGGUGGAGGAUAAAAACACAGGCGAUGGAUUUCAGAGAGACUUUGUAGGUGCUUUCGUUUCCUCCUCCAGGAGGUAAAUGUAUUAUUAGAGUUCGGAAUAUCUUUCCCUGUACAGGUUCGCUCUAAAUCUCUUCGCAUUUUGUUAUGAAUGAGAAUGUGACCUUUCGUCUCCUAUGGAAAUCCAAGCUCUUGAAAGAAGAUUUCUGUGAAUGAGCUAAAAAAAGAAUCCAUUUUUGUCAGUAUAAAUAGCCAGAGGGCCUGGGACUAAUAAGACCACAUUUGAAAGUGCCAAUCUUAUGGUGAGCUUUUAAAAUUUUGAAACAAUUAAUGACAUUGAAUUUUUUUAACUAGUUUGUAUACUGCUGAGUCAUCCCCGCUCUGGAAGCUGAUUUCAUAUUUCAAAGCUCCGAUUUCUUUGCAGAGAGUAAUUAGCAAGUGAAGAAGCAAGCGGGUGUGCUUUCAUGGCUGAAUUGCUUCCACCUUAUGAGGCUGAGUCUCAGAAUUGGACACCACAAGCUUCGGGGAGUCAGAGACAAACCGCCCCGAUACAGCUCUCUCUUUAAUUAGCUCUGUGACAUGAGGCAAGUCAUUUUGUCUGUUCCCUUUCAGAAUUUCCGCAUUUGUGAUAUGAAAAUAUACUGUUACUGUCCUCCAGGGCAUGAUAUGUGAGGAUAAAUUGAGUAAAAGAUGCGAGAUGUAUAAGCCGACAGGAGGCCAUCCUUCCUACUGGGUCUCUCCCGGAUGACAGUGUACAAAUCCCUCCUAAGGUGUUAACUGAUAAUUAGGAUGUUAACUAGCAGCCAAGAAGUCAGUGAUAUUUGAUUUUCUACAAGUAGCUUAACUGGGAUUGUCCCAUAUUUCGGAAGCAGACAGCGUCAGCAAGAUGUCCAGUGCUGACCCCAGGGAGCCUUGGAGAAGGAUGUCGGCCUACAGUUUCCCACAGUCUCACCCGAUUCUCUCAAAACCGAAAUCCAUUAAGACAAUCAUAACCUGCCUUUCAUGAAUUCAUGGUUGGCCACAGCUGAGUGAAUGUGUUACCUUGCUUACAAUUGACGUUUGCAUUCCUCUGCUCCCUCAAUGCGCAUUUAUGUUCCUGGGAACAUGGAAGUAAGUGUUAAGGUAAAAUUAACCACCAGUACCAAGAGGGGGAACAGUCUUUGAGAACUAGUUAUUGGAUAGGGUCUAUAUACCUAGUGUCUCCUUGGGGAAAACCUAAAUCUGCCAAAGAUACUCUCUAAUCUAAAUCAAGACUCCCAGGAUAUCACUGCAUAGCCCCCUUUAUCUUUCCUCCCUUCCUCAUUUCUCCAUCCCCAGCAGGUUUCACGAAUGCUGACUCUGAGCAGGCACUGUGCUACACCCACCUACUCAUGGAUGGACAAGAGAGCAACACAACAAGCUUUCAUGGGCUGUAUUACAUCACAUUUGGAAGUAUUUAUAUUUCCAGUUGUGAUCUUUAAAAAAGAAUUGUCUAAGCUCAAAUACCCCAAAGCAUGAAGAGCCUUGCUUUGCACUUACUUAAAUUUUUGUGUUGGUCUUUUUUUCUUUUUUUUUUUUUGGUGAGGAAGAUUGGCUCUGAGCUAACACCUGUUACCAAUCUUCCUCUUUUUCCUUGAGGGAGAGUGGUCCUGAGCUAACGUUUGUGUCAGUCUUCCUCCCUUUUGUAUGUGGGACGCUGCCACAGCAUUUCUUGGUGAGAGGUGUAGGUCCAUCCCCAGGAUCCAAACCUACAAAUCUGGACCGCCAAAGUGGAGCACACCACACUUAACCACUACACCCCCAGGCCAGCCCAUGCACUUAUUUAAAUUUUUGAUGAAAUGUAUAAGCUAGAUAAUUUUGCUUUAUAUACAAAGUGCUAUAAUUGCAUUAAAACUACAUUCUGUUUUUCCUUAUUAGGUAGAAAGUUUUUCUUUGGAAAGAUUUAAAAUUUUUCAUAUAAAUACC
rnacentral:lncRNA from 1 species